AGAACGCUGGCGGCGUGCCUAAUACAUGCAAGUCGAACGAGAAAGUGUAGCAAUACAUUAGUAAAGUGGCAGACGGGUGAGUAAUACAUAGGUAACCUACCUCUAAGAUGGGGAUAACCUUCCGAAAGGAGGGCUAAUACCGAAUGAGACUACAGUUACAUUAGUGACAGAGGUCAAAGAUGGCCUCUACUUGUAAGCUAUCGCUUAGAGAUGGGCUUAUGCACCAUUAGCCUGUUGGUGAGGUAACGGCUCACCAAAGCUAUGAUGGUUAGCUGAUCUGAGAGGUUGAUCAGCCACACUGGAACUGAGACACGGUCCAGACUCCUACGGGAGGCAGCAGUAGGGAAUAUUGCGCAAUGGAGGAAACUCUGACGCAGCGACGCCGCGUGGGUGACGAAGGUCUUCGGAUCGUAAAGCCCUGUCGGAAGGGAAGAAAAUCGGUAUGGCUAAUAUCUUUACCGCUUGACGGUACCUUUAAAGGAAGCACCGGCUAACUACGUGCCAGCAGCCGCGGUAAUACGUAGGGUGCUAGCGUUGUUCGGAAUCAUUGGGCGUAAAGCGCGUGUANGUUGUCAGUUUAGUCGGGUGUGAAAUC
rnacentral:rRNA from 1 species